ACUUGCUAACUUCAUACGCAUCACAAAUACAAUACCGGUGCAAUGUCUAAAGCAAUUAAAAUUACAUUAGGUGAAAUGAGAGCGUGACAAAAAACUUCCAUGCACUUUACGAGAAAUGACUCCAAGUUAAAGGUAGUAGUUUGACUAUAACAAGAAGUCAAGAAUGGUUUACUCGGAGCACGUUGAAUUAGUAACAUAAUCAUUCGGUCCCUAGAAAUUUUCAAGACAAAAUUAGGUAGUGAUUAUCUAAUUUUGUAGUUAGCACUAUAUGCUAAACCUUGUAAAUCUUCACAUGAAAUCUUCUUAGUGUAUGUAUAGCAAGAAUCCUCUAAAUAGUGUGCCAAGAAUAAUGGGAAUUUAUAUAUUCAUAGGAGGGUAACCCACUUAAAGCCCUAAUAAACAAGCUUCCGACAAUGAUAAUCUUACAUUUGCAUAUCACAAUUGUCAAAGGCAUUUAGACAAUCACAUGGUCAACCUUUUCUCCUGCUUCUAAUCUCAAUUACCAAAAGAAAUGAAUGGGAUCAACGCAUUUUUUGAUGAUUAAGUAGAGCCUCACUAGGAGGAAGAGAUUAAGCCAAGUUCAACAAUUUCAAGCCACCUUUAAUACUCAUUAAAUUUGAGUGAUACGGGGAAAUAAAAAUUAACAAUGGUUACAAAAUCUAUUAAACAACAUAAUGAAAAUAGCAGUGAUGCAAAUUAAAAAAUGAUGGUACUCAUCUCAAUUUAUAAUUUCACUUAAGUAAGUGUGAAAUCAGAUCAUGAGCUUCCGGUAUGAACUCCACCAAGGACAAGUCCUUUUUGUUGUUCUCAAUAUUGACGUCGCGUUCUCGACAUUUAGCAGAUGGAUGUCUUUCAUGAGUAAUGCAAAAGAACACGACCAAACCUAAAUUAAACAUAUCCACUGGGCAUGUCUAAUGCCUAUGAAAAAGCUGUUCAGGUGCUGGUCAUCCCAAGCUUCCACAUCCUGCAAUACAGACAUCAGAGAUCAACCAAAAAAACAAAAGCCAUCAUCACUAGGAUCAUAUAUAGAUAAAAAUGACAGAAUCACCUGUCGAAGAAGGGAAACAGCGGCAAAAGCUGUCAAUCUCCUCGUCCUUUCACCUGAUACUUUUAACUUUUUUCCUAAAAAGAAAGAAAAAUGAGAAAUCACGCUAAUUAUAUUUGCAAGAUAAUGCAAUCAGGUACAAAACCUCCACCAAUCUGUCAAGUCAACAGGAGAAACCCUCCUGGGCCCAGUCCGUCCUCCUCCUCCGGGGGAACCGAAAUCCCCAAUUUGCUGGCGAAUCCCCAAUGAGUCGUCACCAUCACCUUCGGCUCCUUCUAGUUUCUCCAGAGGAUGUACCGGAGUGGCAGCGAGCUGUCGAUGCUUUAGGCGGUGAGAGCCCACGAAGGCGAUAAGGACUCAUCUAUGAGCGUGCACUUCAGCAAGAGUGAUCCCUGUCUAGACUUGGUAGUUUCUACAUCUGGACUAACACUUAUCAACUGAUCCAAACGUCACCCAUGAAUGUAAGUGCUUCAAGCAGCCAAUGAGGCCUCAGAGGCGCCUAUCAUUGACCUAAAUGUUGGUUCAGAAACAUGUCUUCUCGAAGAAAAUGAUGGAUGGCAACAAGCUGUUGUCAGCGUGCAAUGGACAAAGGCUCAUGAAGAUGCACAAACGCAAGCUAUAAGACCAUUACAUCACUCUGGAAUAAAGUUAGAGAGCCUCUUCACCAAGUGUUGGAGGAUCUAAUGUCGCCUCCUAGGCUUGCUACAAUAAUUGGAUUCAUUGUCAGGGCAAUCACAUUCUAGAAGAACCUCUUAAUUGGUGAGAAUGCGCCCCAUCAUGUAAUGCAGGACACUAUUCGACAACCAGGGCCAGGGACGAUUCCUUGUAUCAUACUUAUCUUAGGAGACAACCUCACUCAAGGCA